GGACUACCAGGGUUUCUAAUCCCGUUUGCUCCCCUAGCUUUCGUGUCUCAGCGUCAGCAAACCCCCAGCCAGCUGUUUUCACCUUUGGCGUUCCAAAUGAUAUCUACGCAUUUCACCGCUCCACCAUUUGUUCCGCUGGCCCCUAGGUUGCUCAAGACUUCCAGUAUACCAAGCAGUUCCACGGUUAAGCCGUGGGAUUUCACAAGGCACUUAGAAGUCCGCCUACACACGCUUUAAGCCCAGUGAUUCCGCCUAACGCUUGGCACCUCUGUAUUACCGCGGCUGCUGGCAC
rnacentral:rRNA from 1 species